UUAAAAAAACUUGCUAGCAAGUAUCUGUUCUGUUUGCUUCGGAUACCAUUCUACUCACAGGUCACAAUUCCUCCAUUCCCGCAUCGUUUGAAGUAUUCUCCCCUAGAGUCACUCCAUAAUUGUCCCUAUCUCCGACACUAAGAUUUCUUAAUACAUACCAUCUCCUUUAAUACACAGGCAUAUACACGCCCAUGAAAACAUACCAUAUUGGUUUUUCAGCAGCUAUAUUACAAAUCGACAUUAGCUUUACUUUGCAUUCUUCAGGUUUUAAUCAUCUGAUUUGUAGUUAUUAGUAUUUUCUUCCAACUGAAUAUUAUCUAACUUGUUUUUUCCUUUGCAGAUUUUCUUACUGGCAGCUCUAUUCUUGGACCAAAAACAGGGACAUGGAGAGGGGAGAGCAAGCUCAUUUUUUCUAUUCUCACCCCUGCUGCAACACACCUCACCAACCCAAGGGCCAUCACCCACCAGGCACCAUUCAUGUCUAUUUCUGAUACAGCUUUUGUUCUUUCCCAAGAGCCCUGUUAAAAUUUAUGUUGCAUUAGAUGUUUUCAUGUUGCUCCACUUCUAAGUAUCCACCCAUUUCCUCCACCUAAUUGCUGAAAGCAUCAGCCUUCAUUUUCUCCCUGUGUUCUUUUCAUCAGGACUAGGUCAACUCAUACCCCAAUAAGACACAGGAUUUGGACACAUAAAAUGAAUUGUGUUGCCAUCCACCUGACAAUGUUCUUAUAAAGCAAGUAGACAUAAAUGUUACAAAGGCUUUAAGUAUAACCAUUUAUUCAAACUCAAUGGGACAUACUGGCAGUCACUUAACUCAUUCAGCAAAUAUUCACCAAGCAGCUCCUAUGUGCCAAGAACUAUGAAAAGGGGUAAAUUUUCAAGAGUGACAAGAAACGGUGUCUGCCCUCAAGAACUGUGACCUUUAUAAACAUCCUUUAGAAAAUGCCAGCAGAUUUUGGUAUGAUGCUGCUGAAACAGAGAAGAACAGAUGAACAACUCCCUCUCGUGCUCUCACCAGGAGCUACACCCACUCACAGGCAGUCAGAAUCUCCUCAGCUACUCAAAUUGUUAUUUUCGGAACAAAAUAUUACAGCCUAAAUUAAAUUUGACUAUAUUUCAACUUCGCAAUAAAAGUGAAGCUCCUGAA